rnacentral:lncRNA from 1 species
AAAUUUUUAAAAAUUAUUAAAAAAAUUGGGGUCCUAUAUUGUAGGUGGAGUAUGGCACGCCGAAAGGGUCACAAACAAAAUGUUUAAAUUAAAAAAAAAAAAAAGGUUUCGGCAGAACGCCAUCUAGCGGUCAAAUAUAGAACUGCACGCAAAAUUCCCUUUUCUUGCCCCAAAACGCGAAAUUUUCUUCGCUUAUUAUUGGUCAGAACGUGAGAAGUUGUAACAUCUGAUGAGUCAACAACCAUCGUUAAUAAGCUAGCUUCGAAAAUUACCAAUGAUUCAUAGUCAGAGUAAACGUGAAAGUCAUGCAACCUACCGUCAACUAUUUUGUUCAAACUCAUUGUAUUCUACUGAAUGUGUCAUCGAAAUGAUACAGAUCACCGACCCCAGCAUGGAACAAUCUCUCAUUCCAUCUUAUAGAGAAUCUUUGAUAACUGAUUGAUGAUUUCAUGUGUUUCUUAAUUGGCAUGACUGACUUUAUGAGAAGUUAGGUCCUUCCAAGAAAAAGGACUUACAGUCAACAAGAUUCCUUGUUUGCUAACACGUUGGCUGCUACCCUUGAAUCUCCCUGUAUUUGUCAACGACAAAAAAAGAGGUUAAAUAUUGUGAUCAUGCCUAUCAUCAUUAUGUUGCCUAGAAGACCAAAUGUGGGGCAUCUGGUUAUCCCUCGACUAAUGACCACACGUUCAACGCGGAUCAUUCGCUUUGUCAUCGAACUUGACUCAUUCCAUCCUCUGGAUUGCUUAGGAAAGCUGAUUGGUGUUACCUGUCCAUUUAGGUAAUGACCGAGAAGAUGCGGCCUACAUGAACAUCAUUUAGGCGGCCAGCAUCGUUCGACUACCCAACCGGCUUCUACUACCCUGCUCUCAACACAGCACGGAGUUUUACCCUUAGAUUUUUGGCUGUUCGCGAUGUGUGAUGGCGUUUCCUUGGACGAGAUGAUGAUUUUGGCGAGAAAAAUAUUGCGUUCUAACCUUCAGGUUCCUAAAUAUGAAAAGUAAUGUUCUUUCAAGAAAGUCAACGAGGUCCCUUACUCCCUUGUUUGCUAACCCAAUGGCUGCUACCCUUGAAUCUCCCUAUUUAGCUCCUUACACAGUCCCUCUUGAUUUUAGGGUAAUCCUUCGCUACUGAUCAUGGACUCCAUUGGUGAAACUGAAAAUCGAC